rnacentral:rRNA from 1 species
AUGGAAGGGCAAAUUGAUGAAUCGGGCAGGCUGCAGGGUGCUGGUGCAUGCAGUCCUCUCUAUGCUACCCACCUUCGCCCUCAUUGUGCUCCGGUGCCGAAGAGGAUUCUAAAAGAGAUCAAUAAGACACGACGCCGUUUCCUUUGGGCACAGGAGGACUCGUUGGCCGGUGGUAAAUGCAAAUUGGCAUGGAAUUCAGUCUGCUCGCCAAUAGACAGGGGGGCUAGGCAUCCCAAACUUGCAGCGCUUCAGCAUUGUUCUUUGUCUCUGCUGGCUCUAGCUAUCCUGGCAGCUGUUGCAACGGCCGUGGAUGGCAUUCCCUCUCGCUGCUGA